rnacentral:rRNA from 1 species
AGAGUUUGAUCCUGGCUCAGAACGAACGCUGGCGGCGUGCUUAACACAUGCAAGUCGAGUGCGCGCCUGUAGCAAUACAGGUGGCGCACGGCGCACGGGUGCGUAACACGUGGGUAAUCUGCCCUCUGAUGGGGAAUAACCCGCCGAAAGGCGGGCUAAUACCGCAUAACAUUCCUUGGAUUUCGGUCCGGGGACUCAAAGGCGUAAGUCGUCGGAGGAGGAGCCCGCGCACGAUUAGCUAGUUGGUAGGGUAAUGGCUUACCAAGGCUUUGAUCGUUAGCUGGUCUGAGAGGAUGGCCAGCCACACUGGAACUGAGACACGGUCCAGACUCCUACGGGAGGCAGCAGUGGGGAAUCUUGCACAAUGGGCGAAAGCCUGAUGCAGCGACGCCGCGUGGGGGAUGAAGCAUUUCGGUGUGUAAACCCCUUUCGAUCCGGACGAAUGCCUCGCAAGAGGAGUGACGGUACGGAUAUAAGAAGCCCCGGCUAACUACGUGCCAGCAGCCGCGGUAAGACGUAGGGGGCCAGCGUUGUUCGGAAUUACUGGGUGUAAAGGGUUCGUAGGCGGUGUGGCAAGUUGGGAGUGAAAUCUCUGGGCUCAACCCAGAGGCUGCUUCCAAAACUGCUGUGCUUGAGUGUGAGAGAGGCGCGUGGAAUUGCAGGUGUAGCGGUGAAAUGCGUAGAUAUCUGCAGGAACACCCGUGGCGAAAGCGGCGCGCUGGAUCACUACUGACGCUGAGGAACGAAAGCUAGGGGAGCAAACAGGAUUAGAUACCCUAGUAGUCC